CCUACGGGAGGCAGCAGUGAGGAAUAUUGGUCAAUGGGCGCGAGCCUGAUCCAGCCAAGUAGCGUGAAGGAUGACUGCCCUACGGGUUGUAAACUUCUUUUAUAAAGGGAUAAAGUUUGGCACGUGUGCCUUUUUGUAUGUACUUUAUGAGUAAGGAUCGGCUAACUCCGUGCCAGCAGCCGCGGUAAUACGGAGGAUCCGAGCGUUAUCCGGAUUUAUUGGGUUGAACGGGAGCGUAGAUGGGUUGUUAAGUCAGUUGUGAAAGUUUGGGGCUCAACCGUAAAAUUGCAAUUGAUACUGGCAGUCUUGAGUACAGUUGAGGUAGGCAGAAUUCGUGGUGUAGCGGUGAAAUGCGUAGAGAUCACGAAGAACUCCGAUGGCGAAGGCAGCUUACUAAACAGCCACUGACAUUGAUGCUCGAAAGUGUGGGUAUCAAACAGGAUUAGAUACCCCAGUAGUC
rnacentral:rRNA from 1 species